AGAACUUAAUUUUAGUUUAAAAGUUGAUUUCGAAUCAAUUAAUCUA
rnacentral:tRNA from 1 species